rnacentral:rRNA from 1 species
CCUACGGGUGGCAGCAGUGAGGAAUAUUGGUCAAUGGACGAGAGUCUGAACCAGCCAAGUCGCGUGAAGGAUGACUGCCCUAUGGGUUGUAAACCUCUUUUAUAUGGGAAUAAAAUGUUCCACGCGUGCCAUUUUGUAUGUACCAUAUGAAUAAGGAUCGGCUAACUCCGUGCCAGCAGCCGCGGUAAUACGGAGGAUCCGAGCGUUAUCCGGAUUUAUUGGGUGUAAAGGGUGCGGAGGUGGAUUGGUAAGUCAGUUGUGAAAGUUUGGGGCUCAACCGUAGAAUUGCAGUUGAAACUGGCAGUCUAGAGUAGAGUAGAGGUAGGCGGAAUUCGUGGUGUAGCGGUGAAAUGCUUAGAUAUCACGAAGAACUCCGAUUGCGAAGGCAGCUCACUGGACUGCAACUGACGCUGAGGCACGAAAGUGUGGGUAUCGAACAGGAUUAGAUACCCCAGUAGUC